ensembl:lncRNA
AGUUGUCAAUGUUUCUACAGCGGAUUUACACUAAAACACGAAAGAGCCUGAACUGCAACCGUGUCACAAGUUGCCUUACAUCGGAAUCAGUAAAGCCAACUCCGACUAUAGUUUUUCAUGAAGCUUCAAACCCCCUCCAUGCAAAAAGAGCUAGCAUCAUUAUGGAGGGUGUCAACAUUGUGAGCGCAGAAAUGGAUGUGAUGGAGGCAAUAUUUCAUAUUCAGUGUGGAAUACCCCAAGCACAUCACUCACAUGAUGAAUUGUGUUGAGCAAUACCUGUUUAAACUCUCCAGAAGCCCCCCCCCCCCAAAAAAAAACGGUCUAUCCCAGUGCUCAAAAUGUAUAAUCAAUUAUCAUAAUACUUUUAUAUUUCUGAAUAGUGCUUAUGUUAAUUUGUAAAUAUGAGGCGUUUGAUGUUAUUCUGAAAUGCUGAUCUGAAUUUGAAUCUGUAAUUACAAUUCUUUAUGAGUUAUAUUAAUAUGGAUUUGUAGUUUUGAGGUACUUGAUGUUGUUCUAACCCUGAUGGGAAUUUAGAUGAAUCUGUAUAUUUGCAUUAUUUAUUAGUCAUAGAUUAAUGUAAUUUUAUAAUGGACUUAUUUUGUAAUAUGUAGGUGAAACUAUUUUCAUUAUGAGAUUUUUUUAAAAUGGUUGGUGUUUCAAGGUUGAUUUGUACAUUUAAAGCCUUCAAUAUUUGAAAUGACUUUUUGUUAAUAUAAAUAAAUGACUAGUUCUUUGGGUGUGCGUUUUUUCAGUAUUCAUAGGCGACUUUUUUAUGUUGAAUUACAUUUUUACAUUUUAGGGUCUUGAUGUUUGUCAAUUAUAUUAAAUAUUUAAUCUGGAAAGGACAAAAGAAAUAAUCAUGAAUGAACCCCUAAAGUGUUCUUUUGAUUGAACCCUUAAAAAGGUUUCUAUAUAGAACCUUUUAGGGGGUUCCAAAUAUGUAGCGCCUGAUAGAACCUUUUAAGGUUCUUAUAUAGAACCUUUUUUUUCUAAGAGUGUAUGAUGAAUAAAAUCGCUGUAUUUUAGCUGUGAGGGGUGUUUAAAGCUCGAUUGUUUGAGAUCCGAACUGUUAAAAGCUCUGAUCCCUAUUCACAUGAACAAAGAGUGUUUUCUUUAGAGACAGAUUAGAGAGAGCUGUUGAAAAACGGCAGUAUCCUUGGCAGAUCUGAUCGUGAUGAUGAUUGUAUUAAGCGACUAAGAAAACAACAGAGUUUCAGCUUUGGCAUCUAUGAGGCAUGUGCUAAUCAGAUUAUCAGAAACACAGCCAGAGGCAUCAAGCACAACAAGUACUGUGUGCUACCAUGCUAUCAUAAUAAUAUACUAUCAGACACAAUUCAUUUAUGCUGCUACUCCUUAGCAUGAUAUCAUGUGCAUAAACUUGUGGAAUAUUUUCUCACACCCAAAAGCAGUCAUAAGUAGCACAGGUAUAUUUGUAACAAUAGCCAACAAUACAUAGGAAAAUGUCAACAUGCCAAAAAUCAUUAGGAUAUCAAUUAAAGAUCAUGUUGCAUGAAUAUAUUUGGUCAAAACUUAAUUUUUGAUUAGUAAUAUGCAUUGCUAAGAACUUCAUUUGGACAACUUUAAAGAUGAUUUUCUAACAAACCAUACAUCAUUGUAGAGAUUAUUUAUUCAGAUGAUGUAUAAAUCUCAAUCUUUGUUACUAUGCAUUUUUUUAUUUUUUUUUAUUACCAUUUUCAGGUUUCAGCUCAGUUUCCUCAUUGUUAAUUGUAUUAUAAUAUUGACUGAAUGAUACUUUGCAGGAUUUAUGAAAGUCAAUUUAAGACUUACAUCGAAUGCACAA